rnacentral:rRNA from 1 species
AUGGAUUGCAGCAAUGGCCUACUUCUUUGUUAUCAUGGUGGUAUUAGAAUGUAUUUUGCAGAUAUAUCCCACGUUAUUGUGUGCAAUCCGGCAACUCAAGAGUGGAUGUCACUUCCAAAUACUGAACCUGGACCGUCAAGCUCUUUUUGUGACAUCGUGUUGUGUUUUGAUCCAUCAUGGUCUCAACACUUCAAUGUCUUCAGCUUCCAGUGCCAGUCUUCCAUGGUUGGUGAAGACUUCACUGAAGUUAAGGUAUUUUUCUCCGAGAAUUUCACAUGGUCUAGUUGUCGCUGGAAAAGUGAAACUGGAUUUCAUGGUAGUUCACGCUUCAUGAAUGGGGUGUUGUAUGUGAGUCAUCUAUUGGAGCAUGUCCUUCUGGCAAUCGAUGCACCCGACCCAUGUACGCAGUUGCUUAGUCAGAGGAUCAUUCAGCUGCCAGGAUUUCCAAAUGAUCCGGGGAUGUUUUCUUGGUGUAGUGGGUGUCUUUGCCAUUCAUCAGGGGUCUUAUGCUACGCACAACAGGAAUUUGAUGGUUGUAUGGUGCGGAUUUGGAGUUUGGAAGGCGCCAACGGUUGGGUGGUGAGGCAUCGUCUAAGUAUGAACAAUGUAUUUGGGAGGGACUUGUUGCUCCGCACUGAUCAUAAUGGAUUUUGGUAUUUCGAUUAUGACAUCCAUGAUUUUGACUUGGAGAGAGAGCUAGUUAUCCUUAUUGACAGAAUUGAUCAUAAGCUGAUCUCAUUUAGCAUCGGUACUGGGAAAAGCUCGGAGAUUCUAAAGAUUUCAGGGUUCAGUUACGUGUAUCGUAGUAAACUCUACGUGCCAUACUAUGGCAAGUUUCCAGCUUGA